rnacentral:rRNA from 1 species
UACGUAGGGUGCAAGCGUUAAUCGGAAUUACUGGGCGUAAAGCGUGCGCAGGCGGUUUUGUAAGUCUGUCGUGAAAGCCCCGGGCUCAACCUGGGAAUUGCGAUGGAGACUGCAGGGCUUGAAUCUGGCAGAGGGGGGUAGAAUUCCACGUGUAGCAGUGAAAUGCGUAGAGAUGUGGAGGAACACCGAUGGCGAAGGCAGCCCCCUGGGUCAAGAUUGACGCUCAUGCACGAAAGCGUGGGGAGCAAACAGG